CAGGGCUGGCUGGUAAAACUGAAAAUGUGCAUCCAUCCCCAGGCCGCCGGUUUUAUUUCUGUUUGGGAGCCAGGGCUAGGGAUGUGCAAACUUGUUCUGCUAAUUAGCUCACACGGUAUCAGACAAGGGUCCUCCCUUGACUAACAGCGCCAUUUUCAUCAGAAACCUUGUGCUAUGCCUCGGCCUCCCCUCUUGUGGUGGGGAUUCCCGUCUGGACGAAGAGGGGCGCUGCCCUAACUCAGUAACUCAGGGGUGUUCCUGGGAGGCUGAGGAAGAGCAGCUUGUCUGAGAAACAUUAACUAAUAUCCUGGGAAGGAGAGGACACAACAGAUCUUUCGACAAUCCUGGUGCUCUUUUAACUCUAACAGGCCAUGAAGUGGAAAACGAGGUGAACAGACUUGUAGUCUUCAUCCGAUCAGGAGCUGCUACCUUUGCCUGUGGUCAGCAUCAGCGCUGAGGAAUGCGGCAUGUUGUUUUCCUCCGCGAGCCUGCUCGCAGAACAAGGUUCAGGGACCCGGACUGGGAGGGCAAGGCUCGGAAUCACCACGCAGACUCCGGGGAUGGACCGCUUCCAUUCUAUUGAGGAAAUGUACAAACUUAUAGGGACUGCGCGGGAGCCCCCGGCCUGCGCGACAACAGAACAGGAAGGACCUAAGGACCCCAGAGGGGGUUUUUUUUUUCAGCUGCCUGCCUGCCUGCCUGCCUGCGAUCACCGGCGGCGUGCACGCGAGCUCCCGGCCUACGCGACAACAGACCCAGGAAGGAAGGUAGCCGCGCGGGCGCCCUUGAAACACCCACACGACCCCUCCCCCCCCGUUUCUCAAAACUCCUGAUCCGGCCAGUCCUUAGACCAACUCUGCAGAGGCAUAGGUUCCCAUGAAGGGUAGUUUUCUGAGCUCCGAACUAAGAACAUCUUUAAAGAAAGGGCAGGGGAAACCUGUAAUAGAACGGAGUGGAGUUCAACCCUGAGGGUAAGGAAACUAAAGUUAGGCCUUGUAGAUUGUGUUCAGUCUCAGUCGUGAGGAACAGCCAUUGGCUAGCUAAGACCAGGGGAUUGGGUUCCGCAUAUGACUGUGCAUGUGGUAUAAUAUGAGAUCAGAGAGAGCCUGAAAGAGGACCUUCAAAUUCUUUUUCUUUCCCUCUCUCUUUUCUCUUUUUUCCUCUUUCCACCCUAAAAUUUCUUUCUUUUUUCUGUCCUCUCUCUCCAACUCAGUCUCUUGCUCCACCAUAGUGUCCCUCAUCUCCGUUUUUAUUCCAGUUCCUGAAUAACUCGGACUUCUUUUAUUAUUUUUUGUUUUUAGGAGGGGUUUCUCUUUAUGUUCUUUUCUCCAGUCAUUU
rnacentral:lncRNA from 1 species